CAAUAGCGUAUAUUAAAGUUGUUGCAGUUAAAAAGCUCGUAGUUGGAUUUCUGGUGGGAGCGAUCGGUCUGGCGCUUAGCGCGAGUACUUGCAUCGUCUCCGGCCAUCCUUGGGGAGAGUCUGUCUGGCAUUAGGUUGUCGGGCAGAGGGUCCUCAUCGUUUACUGUGAAAAAAUUAGAGUGUUCAAAGCAGGCUUAUGCCGUUGAAUAUAUUAGCAUGGAAUAAUAAGAUAGGACUUUGGUACUAUUUUGUUGGUUUGCGUACCAAAGUAAUGAUUAAUUGGGACAGUUGGGGGUAUUCGUAUUCCGUUGUCAGAGGUGAAAUUCUUGGAUUUACGGAAGACGAACUACUGCGAAAGCAUUUACCAAGGAUGUUUUCAUUAA
rnacentral:rRNA from 1 species